rnacentral:rRNA from 1 species
UGGCGGACGGGUGAGUAACACGUGGGUAACCUACCCUUAAGUGGGGGAUAACAUUUGGAAACAGAUGCUAAUACCGCAUAACCAUUCAGACCACAUGGUCUGAAUGUAAAAGACGGCCUUUGGCUGUCACUUUUGGACGGACCCGCGGCGUAUUAGUUAGUUGGUAAGGUAACGGCUUACCAAGACAAUGAUACGUAGCCGACCUGAGAGGGUAAUCGGCCACAUUGGGACUGAGACACGGCCCAAACUCCUACGGGAGGCAGCAGUAGGGAAUCUUCCACAAUGGACGAAAGUCUGAUGGAGCAACGCCGCGUGAGUGAAGAAGGUUUUAGGAUCGUAAAACUCUGUUGUUGGAGAAGAACAGGGACUAGAGUAACUGUUAGUCCUUUGACGGUAUCCAACCAGAAAGCCACGGCUAACUACGUGCCAGCAGCCGCGGUAAUACGUAGGUGGCAAGCGUUGUCCGGAUUUAU